UGGGGAAUAUUGGACAAUGGGCGCAAGCCUGAUCCAGCCAUGCCGCGUGAGUGAUGAAGGCCCUAGGGUUGUAAAGCUCUUUCACCGGAGAAGAUAAUGACGGUAUCCGGAGAAGAAGCCCCGGCUAACUUCGUGCCAGCAGCCGCGGUAAUACGCAGGGGGCUAGCGUUGUUCGGAAUUACUGGGCGUAAAGCGCACGUAGGCGGAUCGAUCAGUCAGGGGUGAAAUCCCAGGGCUCAACCCUGGAACUGCCUUUGAUACUGUCGAUCUGGAGUAUGGAAGAGGUGAGUGGAAUUCCGAGUGUAGAGGUGAAAUUCGUAGAUAUUCGGAGGAACACCAGUGGCGAAGGCGGCUCACUGGUCCAUUACUGACGCUGAGGUGCGAAAGCGUGGGGAGCAAACA
rnacentral:rRNA from 1 species